UACGUAGGGGGCUAGCGUUGUUCGGAUUCAUUGGGCGUAAAGGGUGCGUAGGCGGCGCGGUAAGUCGGGUGUGAAAUCUCGGAGCUUAACUCCGAAACUGCAUUCGAUACUGCCGUGCUUGAGGACUGGAGAGGAGACUGGAAUUUACGGUGUAGCGGUGAAGUGCGUAGAUAUCGUAAGGAAGACCAGUGGCGAAGGCGGGUCUCUGGACAGUUCCUGACGCUGAGGCACGAAGGCCAGGGGAGCAAACGGG
rnacentral:rRNA from 1 species